rnacentral:sRNA from 1 species
GACCACCUGGAUUCCGCGGGACUCCGCGGCAGGUUAAGGCCAUACGGACAGCCGGGUCAACUGCCGA